CAAGAUUUUCUUCCCUUCGUUUUCUCCUUGCUGCUUUUUUCUACUUAUUAAGCAUAAAUUUUCUGGUGGCUUCAUCUCAAUUGUUGACAAACAAGGAAAAAAUAGGAAGGGCAACCGAUUUCUCAGUUUUCACAAACAGAAGUUUCACGCUCUCCCACUUCUCUGGCAAUUUUUCUGGAAGUCCUUUUGUGACAGCAACAAUGUUUUCAACGAUGUACUCAAUCUGCAUCCCAGUGUGACCGAUGUGUGUAGCACUGCAAGAACCACUUUUAGGAAUACUUAGACGGUUCCACCUAUACAUUCAUUGAUCUCUCUUGAUAAAUUCCUGGACAGAAGCCUGAUACUGGAACUUUCUUUGUUUGAUAGAAAUGUCUCUUAAUGUGUGAAGGUAAGAGCCACCUAAUUCUGGCAUCAGUAAGGAAGAAGUCAAAACUGCUCAGAAGGUGGAGCUUGGCUUCAUAGGCUUUAUAUUCCUUUUUUAAAGUUUUGGAGGGGGAUAAUCUGAGACACGGUUUUAAUUCCAUGCUUGUUCAAAAGCUUUCUAUAGAACUGUUAUGUCUUUUCAGGAGUUGAAUUGAGUUCAUCCUUGGUAAAUAAACAGAUUUCUUCUAAAUGUGAUUGAAUACCAUGAGGCAAGCCCAAUCUGACCCUCAGUUCUUUACUUGGAAUUUUCCAUAAUACCACCAUUAAAAAUACAUUUUCAUUCUUGUUCAAAAGCAAUCCAUGAUCAUUUUUCCUGGACUUGCAAUGUGUCAACAGAGUGUCCACUGCCUUUUCAACCUGCUCUUUGUCCAGCUGCUUCAGUGCUUUUGGGGACUCUGGAAUCGAGCUAGAGGUUGCAGUCACG
rnacentral:lncRNA from 10 species